GCUGAGCACAGAUUGGAGUUUUGUAGCUGUGAGCCAAGGAACGCCAGGAGAAGCAAGGAAGGAUGAGUCUCUAGAGCCUGCAGAGGGAGCACAGCCCUGCCAACACCUGGAUUUCUGAAGUCUGCUCUACAAACUGUGAUGAGAGAUCUUUUUAAAGGCAAGAACAGCAAUUUCCUGGGGAUCUAUGAGUACACUGUUCAACUACGGUACAGACAGGUUCUGGCUCUCUCACUCAAGCUGGAGUGCAAUGACAUAAUCUCGGCUCACUGCAACUUCUACCUCCCAGGCUCAAACCACCUCCCACCUCAGCUUCCCAAGUAGCUGG